CAGAGAAACAGAAGUGUGAGGACACCGUCUCUCCUAUUCAGAUAUCUUACCAGAUUAAUUCAGCUGCUAAGAAGAUGGAAAUCAGAUACUUAAAAACACAGGGAGAUGCAGCGGAAUCGUUCUCAAUACACAGGCAAGUAUAUAAUUGAGAAAGCAAAGACCAUAUUUUAUGAAGGAUAUGACAAGGAAAAGCUAAGCUGCUUCAGGAUUCCUCCAAAAGGUCUGCGACAAAAAAUCAACAGCAUCCUCAAAAGAUAGUUUACACUGUAACCCUUUGCAUGUCUACUUAGAAGUAAGACCCACUGAGUUCAAUGGGCUGUACUCCCAAGAAAAGGUGCAUAUGAUUGCAAAUGCCACUCAGCAUACAGAUUGUGAUUUUUGCCAUGUUUGUAGUGUGAUUGUUUAUAUUUAGAUCUUUGGCUGUCCCCCACAUCACCACCUUGCCAUAAUUUGUAAAUUAUAACAAUAAAGGAUAUGUGACAUUGA